GAAUACCGAAUGCAAUAUAUUAAUGUUUAAGAAAGCUUAAUGAUUUAAAUAUGUUCUUAAGUUAAUCCAAAAAUAAAUUAAAAAUUGAUGUUCCAAUACUUAAAGAAACAUUACUUAAAUGGGUGUAAGAUAAAAAGAAAAUUAAAAAUCAAUAUCUAAAUUAUUGAUAAUUGAAGAUAACAUUUGUCUAAAAAUUGUAGAUAAGAAAACUAAUGAUAGUCAUUGGUAGAUUUCAAUCUUCAUUUGCUUCGAUAGAGACAAUAGUGUAAUUUUUAUAUUUUGCACUUUUCAUUCUAGCCGAGUCCGCAUAUAUCUGGAUUGUCUAUUUUUUCGUUGAUAAAUUGAAUAUGGUAGUAUCGACAAAGCGGCGGUUGCAAACCGUGAUGUAUUUUCAUUUAAAAUGAUUAGACAUGGUGCGCAUAGUUUAUUUAAUUAAAAAAAAUCAACUUAUGAAAGGCAUGUAAAACUAUUUUAUUUUUUUAAAAUUACACCUUUGCAGUAGAUUUCAUUAGUUGGUCAGCAGUACACGAAAAUAUUUUUUCCACAGUAUCUGCGAACAUGACAGCAGAUAGGCUCUUUGUAUUGUCAUCAAGUUCAACAUAUGCUAUAGCACUGUAAAAUGCAUAAUAAGAUUGUUAGUAUCUUUUUUUAUUAUUAUUAUUUUAACUUAAUUUCAAUAACAUCAUAUGUUUUUUGUAAUAUAUCAUGGUGUAGGAAAUCCUUCCUGGCCGCAUGUUGGCUUGUCACAUAUAAUUUUUUCAUUGCGAUUGUAUAAAUCUAUUUUUUUAUGACAUGCGUCACAUGACAUGUAAUAAAAACUCUGGACAGUAUCAGUUAUUUUUAUUGCCGCCUCAAUCCAAAAGUAUUUUUUCAACAUCCAAAUCAAAUGGUGUUAAUAAUAGUAAGAUAUUAAAACAAAAGUUUUAUAAAGUAAAUAUUGUAGUAGUUUUUACCUCAUUCAGUUGCAGAUUUUUCGUCAACUCUGAAAUUUGGAUGUUAGUCACUAUUUCGCUAAUAUAUUUAAUUGUGCUUCUAAUUUAUGAGCACGUGAUCAAAAACAGUGCUGUAAUGUACUCUCUAAUUUGUUUUUUUAUUUUUUUUUGUUUGCAUCUAAUGCCUCAGGUUUAAUUAUGAUAAGUUUUGGUGUGUUUUAGUAAAUGUUUUUCUUUUUCUGGUUUGCAUUAAUAGCUAGAACAUGGAGAAAAUAAUAAGAUUGGCAUUCCUUUUUGUCGCAGCAUGUACAAAGCAACAUAAUUACAAUAAUGCUUUAAGUUUCUUUUAUUUUUAUUUAACAGAAGACGAAAUUAUAAAUUUUAUGGUUUCUUAAUUAUACUGUAUGUGCUAAAAUUUUCAAUUAAACCAGUUUCAUAUAAAAGCAAAGCUUCUUACUUCAUUAUGUGUAUUUUAGAGUGAUAAUAUGAUAUAUGUUCUGAAGGCAGUAGUCACUAGGAAAGUUGCGGCUAAUGGUAAUCUAUCAUUAAAGCUCUUUCAUGUCCUUUGCAACCAUUGAUGUUGAUUUAGUUCUAUUUUAAAAUUAUCUUCUUUUUCUCAGGGAUCCUUACUCGAAGGGUGUUGAUCCAGAAUUGUUAAAAGCAUCUCUAGCAUCACGUGGAAGGUCGACAACUAAUAAGAAACAAGAGGACCCGAAAAAAGACCAUACCCUAUCUGAGAUCAAGCUAGAGGAACCUCCUACAGUUGUUAAUCAAGGAUCUUUAGCAGUUGAUCCAGCUCAACCCGAACAGCAAUCUAAAGGAGAAAAAACUUUGAAGGAUGCAGUGAAGCCCAAGCACAAGAGAAAAAAGAAACAAUCUUCCACUGGUGGAAGCUAGAUGUGGAACUGGACAUCAUUAAGGGAAACCGAAACCUAAAUUGAAACAUACAGUGUUCAACUUCAAUGUAACACAUGGGAAUUCUUAUGGGCAGAGCUGGAAAAACUUUUACGAGUUCAUCCAUACUUUUGACUUCAGCCUGUGCCCAAGAUUGGCUUGAAAUGAUCAAGCAUAGUUUCAUCCCAUUGCUAAGGCUGAUAAAAUGACCUUUUUGUGUGAUUUUGUUGCCACUCAAAUUGGGAUUUCAUUAUGGGCAUUUGCAAUGGAAUGUAUUUUUAUGUUUCAAGGUAGAAUGUACAUGAACAGGAUUAGUAGGAUUAUUGUCAAAAUUCAAAUAGACAGUUUUUUUUCCUUUCCUUUUUUGGGAUAUAAAAAGUAAGAAAGUCUAUAUCCCACAAUUUUGAUUUGAGCUUGUUAAAGAUCAGUUUUUACAGGCUUUCAUUAUUAGAUCAAUUUAGCAUAUGCACGCUUUUAUAA